rnacentral:miRNA from 1 species
CCUCGGCACCACCCCGGCGAAGGCCGGGGUCCAGUUGGCAAACGUCGCUGAUCAGGCGGUGCGUUCCGUUACCUCGACCUCCCAACUGGACCCCGGCCUUCGCCGGGGUGGUGGUAAUA